GAUGAACGCUAGCGGCAGGCCUAAUACAUGCAAGUCGAACGCUCAGUAGCAAUACUGGGAGUGGCGCACGGGUGCGUAACGCGUACACAAUCUACCUCUAAGCGGGGACACCUCCUGGAACGGGAUUAAUACCGCAUAAUAUGCCGAAGUCGCAUGACUUUGGUAUUAAGCAGCAAUGCACUUAGAGAUGAGUGUGCGUCCCAUUAGGUAGUUGGUGAGGUAACGGCUCACCAAGCCUAUGAUGGGUAGCCGGUCUGAGAGGAUGGUCGGCCACACGGGCACUGAGACACGGGCCCGA
rnacentral:rRNA from 1 species